GCCACAGCCAAUCAGAUGCGAGGAUAGCGUUACCUCCCAAUGUCACCGAUGACUAUAAGAGAUGAACGUGUGUGAGGUGACGGUCACUCCUUCGCCGGAACUGUCUCAAUACUCACACACCUGUUGGGAGCACCCCGAGGUCACAGAGAAGAUGGCGCCGGAGACGAACAAGACAGUACUGGACCGGUACAUGAAGCUUGACCUCCCGGACGACAAGGUUCAGGUCAUGUACGUGUGGGUUGACGGGUCAGGGGAGAACCUUCGCUCUAAGACAAGAACUCUCAACUUUGUGCCCAAGUGUCCCAAUGAGCUCCCGGUGUGGAACUUCGACGGGUCAUCAACGGGUCAGGCUAAAGGUAGAGACAGCGACGUGUACCUGUACCCGGUAGCCCUCUACCGGGAUCCCUUCAGACUGGGCAACAACAAGCUGGUGUUGUGUGAGACCAGAAAACACGAUAACACAACAACUAAUUCCAACCAUCGCAAGAGCUGCCUGGAAGUGAUGAAGAAAGCCGCGGACCAGCACCCCUGGUUCGGCAUGGAGCAGGAGUACACACUGCUGGACAUCGACAAGCAUCCUCUGGGCUGGCCCAAGAAUGGCUACCCAGGACCCCAGGGCCCCUACUACUGCGGUGUUGGGGCCAGCAAGGUGUAUGGUAGGGACGUGGUGGAGGCUCACUACAGGGCGUGUCUGUACACAGGAAUCAACAUCUCCGGAGAGAAUGCAGAGGUGAUGCCCGCCCAGUGGGAGUUCCAGGUUGGUCCCUGUGAGGGCAUCACUAUGGGUGACGACCUGUGGAUGGCUCGCUACCUCCUUCACCGUGUUGCCGAGGACUUCAACGUGGUAGUGACCCUGGACCCCAAGCCCAUCCCUGGCGACUGGAAUGGCGCUGGAAUGCACACCAACUUCUCUACUGCAGGUAUGCGAUCACCUAAUGGCAUUCUGGAGAUCGAAAGCGCCAUUGAGAAACUGUCCAAGGUUCACGAUAAGCACAUCCAGGCCUACGACCCCCACGGAGGCAAGGACAACGAGAGACGUCUUACAGGCCACCACGAGACCUCCUCCAUCCACGACUUCUCAGCGGGCGUGGCCAAUAGAGGCGCCUCCAUCAGGAUCCCCAGAGGCGUGGCCGAGGAGAAGACCGGCUACCUGGAGGACCGUCGACCAUCGUCCAACGCUGAUCCUUACGUCGUGUCCGACAGAUUAGUUCGCACCAUCUGUCUCAACGAGCAGUAAGAAACACUCACUGAGAAAGUCAUCGCCUGUCAUCAUUACUUCACGAGCAUUUCUGCCGACUCUCUCCAAGACUGACGUGAUGUGCUGAAGUUCAGAUCUGUUAUUGCCUCAGAUCAGGUCGCACCAUCUGUAUCAACGACAUCUAACAUAAUGUACCACAGUGACACUAACACGUCAUACUGUACAAUAUGUCCUCCAGGUAGUCACUCCAAAGGGUAUCUUUACGGAAGGGUCCGAUGAAUUUCUAAAAUGAACACUGCGGUUCCUGUUGUCUCGGUAGGGUUUGCCAAAAUCAUUUAUCCGUUGUGUCAUAUUGUCUCACACAAAAUCGUAGAUACCUUUUGGAGUGACUGUACAUAUAAGGCGUCGUACAGUACAAUAUGUCCAGCAGGUACAUAUAAGGCGUCGUACAGUACAAUAUGUCCAACAGGUACAUAUAAGGCGUCGUACAGUACAAUAUGUCCAACAGGUACAUAUAAGGCGUCGUACAGUACAAUAUGUCCACAGGUACAUAUAAGGCGUCGUACAGUACAAUAUGUCCAACAGGUACAUAUAAGGCGUCGUACAGUACAAUAUGUCCAGCAGGUACAUAUAAGGCGUCGUACAGUACAAUAUGUCCAACAGGUACAUAUAAGGCGUCGUACAGUACAAUAUGUCCAACAGGUACAUAUAAGGCGUCGUACAGUACAAUAUGUCCAACAGGUACAUAUAAGGCGUCGUACAGUACAAUAUGUCCACAGGUACAUAUAAGGCGUCGUACAGUACAAUAUGUCCAACAGGUACAUAUAAGGCGUCGUACAGUACAAUAUGUCCAACAGGUACAUAUAAGGCGUCGUACAGUACAAUAUGUCCAGCAGGUACAUAUAAGGCGUCGUACAGUACAAUAUGUC